rnacentral:tRNA from 1 species
ACCUGGCUGGCUCAGUCGGCAGAGCACGUGACUCUUAAUUCUGGGGUUGUGGGUUCGAGCCCCACACCGGGGG